AGUGAACGCUGGCGGUAGGCCUAGCACAUGCAAGUCGAACGGCAGCACAGUAAGAGCUUGCUCUUACGGGUGGCGAGUGGCGGACGGGUGAGGAAUACAUCGGAAUCUACUUUUUCGUGGGGGAUAACGUAGGGAAACUUACGCUAAUACCGCAUACGACCUACGGGUGAAAGCAGGGGAUCUUCGGACCUUGCGCGAUUGAAUGAGCCGAUGUCGGAUUAGCUAGUUGGCGGGGUAAAGGCCCACCAAGGCGACGAUCCGUAGCUGGUCUGAGAGGAUGAUCAGCCACACUGGAACUGAGACACGGUCCAGACUCCUACGGGAGGCAGCAGUGGGGAAUAUUGGACAAUGGGCGCAAGCCUGAUCCAGCCAUACCGCGUGGGUGAAGAAGGCCUUCGGGUUGUAAAGCCCUUUUGUUGGGAAAGAAAAGCAGCAGGUUAAUACCCCGCUGUUCUGACGGUACCCAAAGAGUAAGCACCGGCUAACUUCGUG
rnacentral:rRNA from 1 species